rnacentral:rRNA from 1 species
AAUAGAUACCCCGGUAGUCCACGCCGUAAACGAUGAUAACUAGCUGUCCGGGCUCAUGGAGCUUGGGUGGCGCAGCUAACGCAUUAAGUUAUCCGCCUGGGGAGUACGGUUGCAAGAUUAAAACUCAAAGGAAUUGACGGGGGCCUGCACAAGCGGUGGAGCAAGUGGUUUAAUUCGAAGCAACGCGCAGAACCUUACCAGCCUUUGACAUGCCUAGUAUGGUCUCCAGAGAUGGAUUCCUUGUCUUCGGACGCUAGGACACAGGUGCUGCAUGGCUGUCGUCAGCUCGUGUCGUGAGAUGUUGGGUUAAGUCCCGCAACGAGCGCAACCCUCGUCCUUAGUUGCCAUCAUUCAGUUGGGCACUCUAAGGAAACCGCCGGUGAUAAGCCGGAGGAAGGUGGGGAUGACGUCAAGUCCUCAUGGCCCUUACAGGCUGGGCUACACACGUGCUACAAUGGCGGUGACAGUGGGCAGCAAACUCGCGAGAGUGAGCUAAUCUCCAAAAGCCGU